AUGAUGAUAACAGAACCCACAGAUUGCUGGCCUGAUAGGGCAAGGUGUUGUGUGCAUUAUACUAGUUGCAUGAUGCAAAUUUUCUCAUUAAAGUUGGCUAGAAUUUCUACUAACAUGGACUCCAUACAACUAUAUGGAUACAUAGCAGUGCGGGAUUGUCAAGAUCAAUUGCUUAAUUAUGUUAUUAAUCAUAGCAGGGAUGAUCCCAUCAUUAUGCGACAGGGUUCUCUCAUUGAGAUGACUGGACCUAAGCGAGGCAUCUCAAUGACUUCCUCUGUUCUAAUAGAGUUUGACAUGAGGAUUAAGAUAGGAGAGCAAGAAGAAGAUGAUUUACAAUUAGUUGACGGGGUAGCAGACUACUGCAAUCUAACCAUGCCUUGCACGCCAUUCACGAAUCGCAUUCAUGGGGAUUGUGGUGCAGUUGACAUCACUUUAGCAAUGUUGUACAGGGCAGUGGAGGCAACAAUAGAGGUUAACGUAUCAAAACUGCAGAGUGGAUUCAAUUUGUCUCUCAGUUCGUUCGUGUUUAUCCGUGGGUCACCUCACAGAAUUGAGCUCUUUCCUGGCACUAUUGGCGAGUCAUGUAGCUUAAGAAGACGUGUGAUUUCCGUAACAAAGGAUACUCCGAUGCAUCUAAAGUUCAAAUAUGGUCAAGAAGGCUCUAAAAAUGGUGAGCUUGAACGCUGCUGCUACUUCAAAGCGAGCAUCCAUGGACGUGCCUGUCGACAAAUAAAACUUAAGCCUGCCUUUAUCUCAGUGAAGGUGACUUGGUCUGCUGUUUUUUGA
rnacentral:rRNA from 1 species